rnacentral:rRNA from 1 species
AGAGUUUGAUCAUGGCUCAGAACGAACGCUGGCGGCAGGCUUAACACAUGCAAGUCGAGCGCUGUAGCAAUACAGAGCGGCAGACGGGUGAGUAACACGUGGGAAUCUACCCAUCCCUGCGGAACAACUCCGGGAAACUGGAGCUAAUACCGCAUACGCCCUUAGGGGGGAAGAUUUAUCAGGGAUGGAUGAGCCCGCGUUGGAUUAGCUAGUUGGUGGGGUAAAGGCCUACCAAGGCGACGAUCCAUAGCUGGUCUGAGAGGAUGAUCAGCCACAUUGGGACUGAGACACGGCCCAAACUCCUACGGGAGGCAGCAGUGGGGAAUAUUGGACAAUGGGCGCAAGCCUGAUCCAGCCAUGCCGCGUGAGUGAUGAAGGCCUUAGGGUUGUAAAGCUCUUUCACCGAUGAAGAUAAUGACGGUAGUCGGAGAAGAAGCCCCGGCUAACUUCGUGCCAGCAGCCGCGGUA